ACCAAAUUAUUAAUAGAAGUUCUUUAAAUUUAAAGAAUUUGGCGGUAAUUUAUCUUUUCAGAGGGACCUGUCCUAUAAUUGAUAAUCCACAAUAGAUUUUACUAAAUUUUAGCUUAUAUACCUCUGUCAUUGAAUACUCUUCAAAGAGAUUUUCUGAAUGUUAUUCUUAAUCAAAAUGUUAGGUCAAGGUUUAGCAAUAUUUUAGUAGUGAUGGGUCACAUUUUUAAUAUAAUAGGAAAUUUAUAUGGAAAUUACUUUAAAUUCGGAUUUGAUAGUAAAUUUCAUUAUUUUAUGGGGU
rnacentral:rRNA from 1 species